ensembl:lncRNA
CGUGGUUUUGCUGCCGAAAACUGCCAUGUUGGCAGGAUAAAUAUAGGGGGUGAAUCAUGGCUUGUCUACUGCAGAAGGCCAAAGCCAUUCAGAACAGGUACCUGCAUACCCCACUGAGCUGCCCUAGCAGAAGGGUGGCCACAUUUAAGAGUGGCUGGAUUUGGGACAGAAACACGUCAUUCUUAUGCUUUCCUGAGCAACUUGCUGGUCAUAAGGGAAUGGUAGGUAGGACUCCAGCCUGGAAGAACACCCAGCAAUCCAAAAGGUUUCCAACUUCUCAGGUUCCUGUGAGCCUGAAGACGUGGGCUGGAAGACCCCGGGGAAUGGCUGUCAAAGAGGCUCUGACUGUUUUGGCUUCAUGUGCUCCGUACACAGAGGAGGCGGCCACUCUGCAUUCGGGCCUCAGCCAAAAGAAAGUGGAGCAAAUGGGAGAG